CAAUAGCGUAUAUUAAAGUUGUUGCGGUUAAAAAGCUCGUAGUUGGAUUUCUGGUCGGAAGCUCCUGUCCUCUGAUGAGCGUACAAGUGCGUCCUACCAUCCUUCUGUUAACCUUUAAGGCUUUCGCGGCUUUCUAGGGGCUCAGAUAUUUUACCUUGAGAAAAUUAGAGUGUUUCAGGCAGGCUAGCGCCGGAAUACAUUAGCAUGGAAUAAUGGAAUAGGACUUUUGCCUCUUCUGUUGGUCAUGAGGCUCGAGUAAUGAUUAAUAGGGAUAGUUGGGGGCAUUAGUACUUAACUGUCUGAGGUGAAAUUCUCGGAUUUGUUAAAGACUAACUUAUGCGAAAGCAUUUGCCAAGGAUGUUUUCAUUAA
rnacentral:rRNA from 1 species